rnacentral:rRNA from 1 species
GGAAUAUUGGGCAAUGGAGGGAACUCUGACCCAGCGACGCCGCGUGCGGGAUGAAGGCCUUCGGGCUGUAAACCGCUUUCAGCAAGGAAGAAGCGAAAGUGACGGUACUUGCAGAAGAAGCACCGGCUAACUAUGUGCCAGCAGCCGCGGUAAUACAUAGGGUGCAAGCGUUGUCCGGAAUUAUUGGGCGUAAAGAGCUCGUAGGUGGUUCGUCACGUCGGAUGUGAAAAUCUGGGGCUUAACCCCAGACCUGCAUUCGAUACGGGCGAGCUAGAGUGUGGUAGGGGAGACUGGAAUUCCUGGUGUAGCGGUGGAAUGCGCGGAUAUCAGGAGGAACACCAAUGGCGAAGGCAGGUCUCUGGGCCAUUACUGACACUGAGGAGCGAAAGCGUGGGGAGCGAACAGGAUUAGAUACCCUGGUAGUCCACGCCGUAAACGGUGGGCACUAGUUGUGGGAACCUUCCACGGUUUCUGCGACGCAGCUAACGCAUUAAGUGCCCCGCCUGGGGAGUACGAUCGCAAGAUUAAAACUCAAAGGAAUUGCCGG